CCUCUCAUCAUCGAUGUCUCCCUCUCUCCCUCCCUCUCCCUCCCUCUCUGACAUCAAUAAAAACAUGUAUUUUUUAAGGAUAAGGGAGAGCGGCUCUCUGUGCAUUGAGGCCCGACCUGAGCUGUCCCUCACGAUGAAGGUCUUCCUGCCCGUGCUGCUGGCCGCCCUCCUGGGUGUGGAGCAAGCCCACACCCUGGUG